rnacentral:rRNA from 1 species
AGAGUUUGAUCAUGGCUCAGGACGAACGCUGGCGGCGUGCCUAAUACAUGCAAGUCGAGCGGACCGAAGGGAGCUUGCUCCUUUAGGUUAGCGGCGGACGGGUGAGUAACACGUGGGCAACCUGCCCUGCAGACUGGGAUAACUUCGGGAAACCGGAGCUAAUACCGGAUAACACCGAAAACCGCAUGGUUUUCGGUUGAAAGGCGGCAUUAGCUGUCACUGCAGGAUGGGCCCGCGGCGCAUUAGCUAGUUGGUGAGGUAACGGCUCACCAAGGCGACGAUGCGUAGCCGACCUGAGAGGGUGACCGGCCACACUGGGACUGAGACACGGCCCAGACUCCUACGGGAGGCAGCAGUAGGGAAUCUUCCGCAAUGGACGAAAGUCUGACGGAGCAACGCCGCGUGAGCGAAGAAGGUCUUCGGAUCGUAAAGCUCUGUUGUCAGGGAAGAACAAGUGCCGUUCGAACAGGGCGGUACCUUGACGGUACCUGACGAGGAAGCCACGGCUAACUACGUGCCAGCAGCCGCGGUAAUACGUAGGUGGCAAGCGUUGUCCGGAAUUAUUGGGCGUAAAGCGCGCGCAGGCGGUUCCUUAAGUCUGAUGUGAAAUCUCGCGGCUCAACCGCGAGCGGCCAUUGGAAACUGGGGAACUUGAGUGCAGGAGAGGGGAGCGGAAUUCCACGUGUAGCGGUGAAAUGCGUAGAGAUGUGGAGGAACACCAGUGGCGAAGGCGGCUCUCUGGCCUGUAACUGACGCUGAGGCGCGAAAGCGUGGGGAGCGAACAGGAUUAGAUACCCUGGUAGUCCACGCCGUAAACGAU